rnacentral:rRNA from 1 species
AUUAGUGGCCAUAGCAAAGGGGAUCACCUGAUACCAUUCCGAACUCAGUAGUUAAGCCCUUUAGCGCCGAAGAUACCAGAGAUGGGAAAAUAGGAGCUCCUACGU